UUUUUUUUUUUUUUUUUAAGAUUUUAUCUAUUUGUUCAUGAGAGACACAGAAAGAGAGGCAGAGACACAGGCAGAGGAAGAAGCAGGCUCCAUGCUGCGAACCUGAUGCGGGACUCAAUCUUGGAACUCCAGGAUCACGCCCUGGGCUGAAGGCAGGCACCAAACUGCUACGCCUCCCAGGGAUUCCCUAGUGAAGGCUUUUAACACCUGGUAGUGUUUCUCUUCCCCAUUGGACUGUGAGCUCCUUGGUGACUUCAUUUAUCCUUGUUCUCUGCUGCAGUGCGGUGGUCAGCAGUGUACUCAAUGAAUGAAUCAACAGGUGAGCCAGCUGGUGCUUGGAUCGGAAUAUUUGCCCAAGAAUCAGAAUCAGCUCUUCACUGGAACCUGAUGUUCUGGGUCAAUGGAGCCACAAACCUUUACUUCUCUGAGCCUUCAUAUCUAUGACAUUGGGAUGUUAUCCUCACUACUAGAUCAUUUGUCUGACCCAACACUCUUUGAGCUUUUCAGGUUAAAGUUGCUAUUAAAACACUCAGGAAAUUAACACUAACACUUUUUCGUCCCAGAACUCUUCUUGAAUUUAAGAAAUUCAAAAGCUUCUCCAUUUAAAACCAUUCAAGACUUGUGUGGAUUUAUGUUAAAAGAAAAAAACCCCAAACAACAAAACUACUGUUAUAUGAAAAGAGAAUAGCUUGAAAUAUGCCCAAACCCAUGUCUUUCUUUCUGUUUCUGUCAUAGAUAGGGCCUAUCCCUCCACAUCUCUCCUGGCUUCUGUGCCACCAGACUCGCCUAUGUCCUCUCCUCUUUCUUCAUCCUCUUCUGACCCUGACUUACAGUAAGUCUGCCUUCAGAUCUUUCCUUUUCCUAGAAGAUUUUUUCUUAUGGCAUCUAACCUAUUGUUGCUAUAAGAGUGAUUCCCAAAACUUAAUCUCUGCCCAGACUUCUCUCCUGAGCUUCACUUCUGUGCUUUGGCUGCCUCCAGAAGGAGGAGUUCACUUGUCUGACACAAAGCCUCCAUUUCUUCCCACAUGCCACCAUCCUCCCCAAGAACCCAUCUUUCCUCCUCCUUGACCCCCAACAUCUCAUUAAUUACUCAGCCAAUAUCUGUUGCUACUGAAUGAUACUCAAUGACAGGUGUCCGGCACCAUUCUUGGCACAUAAUUAGUGGGUUCGUCUAAUUUUCUGAAUUCAGAAAAUGAGUUGUCCAGCCUCUAAUCCACAGUCUCUCAUAGUUCUUUGGCCUCUAUUUCCUUUCCCUUCCAUCGUGUGUUAACUUCCUAGGGCUGCAGGAACAAAGUGCCACAGACGAGGGGACUUAAAACUGCGGACAUUUCUUGGCUCACACUUCUUGAGUCUGAAAUCAAGGCAUCCGCAGCCAUGGUCCUGCUGCAGCCUGGGAGGCAGAAUCUGUUCUGUGACUCCGUCCCAGCUGCUGGUGGUUUAGCAGCAGUCUCUGGCGUCCUGGGUCUGGGGAUGCAUUCCACUCCUCCACCCUCACACAGCAGCCUCCCUGUGUCUCUGCACAUAGCCUUCUCUCCGUGCGUGUCUUUCGGUCUGAAUUCCCCCGCCCCCUUUAAGAGACUUUAUUUAUGAGAGCACGUGAGCAGGAGCAGCAGCAGGGGCAGAGGGAGAAGCAGGCUCCUCACGGAGCAGGGAGCCCGAUGUGCGCCUGGGCCCCAGGACCGUGAGCUGAAGGCGGACACUUACCAGGCUGAGCCCCACCCCGCCCCGGUGCCCCUGAAUUUCCCCUUGUUAUAAGCACACUGGUCAUAUUGGAUUAGGGCCCAACCUAAUGACCUUACUUUAACUUCCUAUUUCCAAAUAAGGUCACAUUAUGGAUGGAUGGAUAAAUGGAUGGAUGAAAUAAUUAGUCAAGUUGGUCUCAGUCUGCCUUCCCAACCUCUGAGCCAUUUAUUCCCAUCCAAGCAUCUGUCCUCUGGCCCAAUGUUUGGCUUCCCUUCUCUACACUCUUUCCUUUCCCAGCCUCUGCAAGUUCAGUUUCUCGCCCUCGGCUAUGGCCUCUCUCAAGUUCACAUCCACACUGCCACCACCCCACUGAUGUCUGCCUUCUCCUAACCCUGGUUCUGCACUCGGUGCCUCCUCCAUGGCACUGUUCGCUUCCGCUUCCCGUGACAGUGAUGUAUCACAGAACUGUACUCCUGUUAGAAGGCAUCUUACAGAUGGGCCAAGACCAAGAGGUCUGCAUUUGACCACAUGGGGGCAUUUUAAAAACUGUGAUAGAUCCCUGAGCCCCACACUUCAAGAUUCUGACCAGCAGGUGUGGGUGGGGGCCUGGAGUCUGUACUUCCAAAAGGUCCUCCAGAGAUUCUGAUGGCCAGUCAAGUUUGAGAACCAAUCAUCCAGUCCAACCUCCUUAUUUUACUUACAAGGAAGCUGAGCUCCAAAAUUGUUGUAUGAAUUGCCCAAGUCACAUAAUUAGUAGCAGAGCCAUCCAGUGAUAUGGUUCUCUUACCUUCUCAGUCAGAUUGAAGCUGAGGAGCAGAGUCUGUAUCUCUCUUAUCUUUGUAACUAUGUGCUACCAUCAGUCUUCAUCAGUCUAGACAAGAAAUUCAGAGUAGGUGCUACUGUUGAGUCAAUAGGCUAGUGGCCAUAUGGAAAGCUCCAAGAGGGCAGUUACUACAUCUGUCUUUGCUUACCUGGCAUAAGGCCUGGCAAAUAGUAAGGUGUCAGUUAAUAUUGGUUGAAUGCACGAAGCAUCUGCCAUGUACCAGGCACUGUAGUAGAUGGUUUGCAUACAUCAUCUCAUUUCACUGAUCUCAACUAUAACCCUAUGAAGCAGGUUUUAAUACUCCCAUUUUACAGAUGAGGAAACUGAGGGCCAGAGGUUAGAUAAUUUGUUCAGGGCUGUGCAGCCAGUAAUUGACAUAACUGAGGUGGUUUUUUUUUAAGAUUUUAUUUAUUUAUUCAUGAUAGACACACAGAGAGAGAGAGAGCCAGAGACACAGGCAGAGGGAGAAGCAGGCCCCAUGCAGGGAGCCCGACGGGACCAAUCCCGGGUCUCCAGGACCACGCCCUGAGCCGAAGGCAGGCACCAAACUGCUGAGCCACCCAGGGAUCCCUGACAUAACUGAGCUUUAAACCCCAGCUCUGUCUUCAGUGCUUGGUUCUCUUCAGAAGCUGUAAAUCACCCCAAAACAAUAUUGAGUGCAAAGGGAUUUAAAAGUUCCAGAAACCUCAGCUUAGAUGGUAGCUGUAAGUCAGCCUUGCUGCCCCACGAGGUAAUAGGGAAGUUGACCCACUGAGAGUGUUAUUGUGUGUGUUUCAGAACAUACAGUACCCUGACUACUUGUAUGCUUCUCUGAGCAUGACUCAGUGCUAUCAAAAGCUUUUACAAGUGUUUCAUCUUCUUUCCCGUGCCUUUGUAAAAAUGCUUUUAGAAAAAAAAGUGCUUUUAGAAUGCCCUCCCUUUGUAGGGCAGAAUGCUAGCACCAGGGCAAGCAGAGUUCAGAGAGUGUCCUAGCAUGAACUGUUCUACUACUAAGUUUCAAAUACGAGCCAAUGGCUGGGAAACCCGAGUAGAGGGUGUGAGUUGGCCCCACACACCUAGUCCCCAGCCCAGAUCACUUGCACAGUGAGCGGGUUUCAUCUGUACCAGAGGCAUUACGUGUCAGAGACUCCGUGUCUAGAAAUGGCAGGGGUCUGAUCCUAGCUGUCAGGCAUGAGAGAGAAACCCAAGUAGCCACAUCCCAGAGACAGAGUUUCAGCUUUGUCAUCUCAAAUGUUUUUGUUAUUUUUUUCUUUCCAGUUUGAUGUUUUACUUGGAUCUUGGCCUUGAAUGUAUUCUCCAUGUCGACAAUUUCCUCAUUCCUUAUGGCCUCCUUUUCAUUGCUUCGGAGAUCAAUCCUUUCUGAACUUUAAGGUCACCCCUCCCCCAUCCAGCCUCAGGGGCAGAGGAGUUAGUAAGCGGGGCCUGUACUCACAGGUUCUUUUGCAGAGGGGCCAGCCUUCCAUUCUCAUACCCUGCCUCCUCCUACUUCCAAGCACACUUCCAUCCUGUCCCUGAAUUUUUCAAAUAUGUACAUACAUUGGUUUUGAAUUCUUACUUAUCCUCCUUUCUUUUACUUAAAAAAAUUUUUUUAAAGAUUUUAUUUAUUUUUUUCAUGAGAGACAGAAAGAGGCAGAGACAUAGGCAGAGGGAGAAGCAGGCUCCCGGUGGGGCGCCCGAUGUAGGACUCGAUCCCAGGACCCCAGGAUCACAAUCUGAGCCGAAGGCAGAUACUCAACCACUGAGCCACCCAGAAGCCCCUAUCCUCCCUUCUUUUAAAGGGUCUUGAACAGAAUUACUUUAAGGAUUCUGUUUUUUUGUGGUUUGUUUGUUUGUUUUGUUUUGUUUUGUUUUUAGGACUCUGGUUUUGUAAAUAACUAAGACUCCUUCCCAAUGAAGCUGGGCUGGAGACUCCACUCCCAAAGGGGUCCCAUUGAGGCCAUGGGUGGGCCUUGGGAGUGCCGACAGUUUUUUUUCUUCUUAUGCCAGGGUAGCAAAUUGCCUGACUACCUAGGAAAACUGAAUGAAGUGAGGGGGUCUCGGGGAGGGGUGUUUCAGUGUUGAGUUGUGUAAUAUGCAGCCACUUUUAUGGUGAGGUACUUGGAAGCCAUCUGUUGUCUGAAUUAUUGGAUCUAUCACCACGAGGUCAAUACACACACACACACACACACACACACACACACUAUAGACAAAAAUCCUUUUUUUUUUAAGAUUUUAUUUAUUUCGAGAAAGAGCUCGUGCAAGCAAGCAGGAAGAGGAGCAGAGGGAGAGAAAAUCCCAAGCAGGCGCCAUGCUCAGCACAGAGCCUGAUGUGGAGCUCAGUGUCAUGACCCUGACAUCAUGACCUGAGCAGAAAUCAAGAGUCAGAUGCUUCACUGACUGAGCCACCCAGGUGCCUCCAUAGGCAGUCUUUUUACAGUAACAUCAAAAACACUAUCCAAAUUCCUUGGUGAUACAGCACUAAACUUUUGCUGAUUAAAUCUUCCUGAAGUUUGUAGACUAUGAGCUGGAUUCUAAUUUUUUUUAUUGUAGUGAUAUGUGUUUAAUAGAAUCUGACCUGUAUUACUUCUGCCAGCAGGGAAUUCAGAGUUACCAAUCAGAGUUAAUGUGGCACAAAGAACUCCAAACUUCUUAUUCAGAGGAUGUGAACAGGAGUGAUUCUUGAAUGAAAGCAUUGAGUCAGUAAUUUUUGUAGCUUAAUAGUGCCACGUGCAGUUUUGUAGGCUCAGAAAAUUCUCCAAGACAGAAUACUGUAUAGAAAGAGCAAGAGAUUAAGCAUCUAGAAAGUUGAUUGGUCCCUAAUUCUGCAACCCUGGGCCGUUUGCCUGACUUCUCUGUGCACCCAUUCUGUUGCCUAUAAGAUGGAUGGGCCAGGCUGGACAGGUGGUUCUUGAGAUAGUUCUUACUAAGGGGCUAGUGUGGAGAUCCUUUCCCUUUCCCAAGUUUCACCUGCAUAAAUGUUUUUAUUUCAUGUGUUUCAGCAUACAAUUUUAGUAAAAAAAAAAAAAA
rnacentral:lncRNA from 1 species